ensembl:snoRNA SNORA53 small nucleolar RNA, H/ACA box 53
AACAUGCUUCCUUAGAUCCACCUUUGUGGAUGCUAAUCUUGAACUGAGUUCUACUUGUAAACUUUCUGUUUCUUGUAGUUCCAGUCAGAGAAACAUCCAGCAACUUCUUCGGUUGUAUAGUCAAAGGUGCUUGAGUCAUUGGCAUGUGAGAUAAAUAUACCUGCAUGUUAGUCCUAGGUUCUGAUAGAAAUGACAUGCAAUUGUGCUGCCAUUUUUUUUUGCUAUCAGGACUUGACUGGUGUGCGGACACU